rnacentral:hammerhead_ribozyme from 1 species
AUUCAACUGACGAGUCCCAAAUAGGACGAAACGCUCGUCUUGGAU